CCGUUGCGACCCUAGGUCAAGUGGGGCUACUCGCUGAGUGUAAGCAUAUCAAUAAGCGGAGG
rnacentral:rRNA from 1 species